rnacentral:lncRNA from 1 species
CCGAUCUAUUUGUAUUUCUUUUCAUUUGUAAGUAAGAUGUUUUAUAUUCGAUUCUCACCAAAUGCAAAUUUGAACCAUAUUAUUGAUCCCCCUCCUUGCUGUAGAUAAUACCGAUUGUUAAAAACAAAAAUAUAUAUAUAUGUGUGCGUAUGUGUGUGUGUGUUUAUUGCGUUUAAGUUAUCUAUAAAAUAAAGCAAUUGAACGUUGCAUAACCUAUAUUUUUAAAAGCGUUAUGAUUAUGAAAAGUAAUAUUAAAGCGCUUUGUAAUUUUUAACAUGAGUAAUAUAACUGUAUAUAAUUAUGGGGGUGAUGAUAGGGACAAUGGUGGAGUUAUAGUGGUGGUGUCAAUAGUAGAGCGUGAUGGUUGGAGUGAGGAGGUAGCAAUGGUGAUUAGUAGAAGUGGUGACAAUUAUGGUAGUGGUUGUGGCGGUGGCGGUGACAACAAUGGGGGCAUCGAUGGUGAUGGCAGCAAUGAUAGGGGUAUGGAGAUGGUGCCAAUAGUCGAGUGUGGCUAAGGUUCUGUUUGAUAUUGUUUUUCUUUCACCAAAUAAAACAAGUAUAUUUAGACAAAAAUUUAUGUAUGUUAUUUUUUAAUUAGCACAAGAUGUCAUCGUAGUGUUAUACCCAUGGUAUAUAAGUCCCUCUCUCAUUUAUUGUAAUAUCUGGUUGUAUCAAAACAAGAAGGGAAAAAACAUUUCGAUACUAAAUAUCGAAUGGCUCAAUAUUCUUAACUUGUGUUCGUUUUUGUAAUAUACAUAUAUUGAUUUUUGAACAUUGUCAAUAAAUUAAGGGCUUGUUUGGAAAUGCUUUUAAAAUGACUAAAUGUGCUAUUGGUGAAAGUGUUUCUGGGUUCCAAAAGCACUUGAGGUGCUUUCUACAAUAAGCACAUUUCAAGAUUUACUUGCACUUUCACUAAUGAUUGGUUCUAAAAACACUCUCAUAAAAAACAAUUUCAGUUAUUUUAAAAACACUUCCAAACGAAUGCUAAGUGUAGCUAACUCUUGAGAGCUUUGACAUUAAACCUCCAGCAAAUCAUAUGGGUUUGAUUGAUUGGAUAUUUUAUACGAUUUCUCCUUUGUUCCUUGAAAAGCUAUUUACAACCUGUUAUAAAAUUUGCGAUCAAAGAAAUAAGUUAGGUUCGUAUGGUAAUGUUUUAGAAAACGAUUUUGAAGAACUAUUUUGUAAAACAAAAAGGACAGAAUUUUGCAUUUUUAUGAUUUGAAAAUGCGUGCGUCUGGUAGUUUAAUCUGAGAGCAGUUUUUGAAAAUGAAAACAUUUCCAACUGGUUUGUGUUUGAUGAUAGUAGUGUUUUUGUAAUGUAACUAAGAUGAUAAAAAACAACAGUAAAUUUGUGUUUAAUAGCAACGUGUGGCCGUUUUAUGAUCUCGUUGAAGUGUUUGGUUUAACAAUUUUCAUAAUAUAAUAUUAUGUAGGUUAACAUUUGAUUUGUAUGGAAUAAGACCAUCUCCAAACGAGAUGUCAAAUUUUGAACAUAAAAUUUAAAUUUUGACCGUUUAUGUGAUACUUUAACAUCUUUUAAAGUUUUGUUCUCCAACCGAUAUGUCAAAUUAAAUUAUUAUUUUAUUAUUUUAUAAAAUAAAUUAUUAAACUAAUUAAAAUUUAAUAAAAAACAUUUAAAAUUUAAUUUGUAAUUUGUUCAUCUUCCUUGAUUGAAAAGAAGAAAAAAGUAGGAUAAUUAUAUCCAUAAACUCAACAUUAAUUAUAAUAAAUGAUUAAACUAAUUAAAAAUUAAUAAAAUACAUUUAAUAAUUAAUAAAUAAAAACAUUUGAAGCUGCUGUCAAAUUUGACAGCAACCUCUUUUGCUGCCAAUCCAUGUCAUCGCAACAUAAAAUUUGGCACUUCGGUUGGAAAAUAUUAGUGUGAUAUUUUUUUUUACUGUUAUAGCUGAUGUGUACAUUUUAGUCAUAAGAUCUCAUUGUAAUUUACUCUUGUUUUCAGAAGGAAUGAAAAAAAAAAAAAAAAAAAAAAAAAAACCUAAUGAAAAGGAAUUGAAAACUUUUAGUUUUAACGAUAAGGACAAAACAAAUGGUAAAGUAAAUAGUACCAAGAUUGACUUUUUAGUGUUAAAAUGUGGUUUUUCGUUAAAGUAAACAGUAGCAUGAGCUUUUCGUUAAAGUUCCACAAAAAAAAAUGGUACGCUUCCCCUUCUGUUCUCAUGUUCAUCUCGCGUUGCCUUUUUUCAUCGGUCACAUCAUGUUUUCCUACUCUCUCAAGCUAUAUACUAUGCAACCCUCAUUUGCGGUUUAGAAUUGGAUUCAAAGCAAGCUUGAAGUUGUGUCCUAGACUCCUAGUUAGGGUUCUGCAAUGAUUAUGGCAUGCAGGUAACUGUGAUUAUUUACCCAUAGCCAAUUUCAAGAUUGAGCAGUGACCAUAACUCAGCAUGUAAAAUUGCUCCUGCACCUAGGUGAGCAGUUUGGGAGCAGCCUCUCCAUAAAUGGGGGUAAGGCUAGCCGACAUUCACCUCUCCCAGACCCUGCGUAAAGCGGGAGCCUUGUGCACUGGGUACGACGACCUAGGUGAGCAGUGAAUCCAAAAUUCAAUCAGAUUUCCAAUCCCUACUAAGACCCCCUCACCCAAGCUAAGAGAGCUUCACUUCAGUUCUUAGGGCUGGAUUGGUAUUGUUGUGCUUUGAAAAAAACUGCUCUUACUGUGCUGUGAAAAUAAACGGCUAUGAAAUAAAGUUAUAAAGUGUUUGGUAAACUUUUUUGUAAAAAUGCUUUUGAAAAAAAAAACAGUAUUAUAAUGUUUGGUAAACUUUUAUGUAAAACAAAUGUGAAAAAAAAACCGAUUUUUCAAAGCUGGGUUUUGCAGCUUCUUGUUUUUGGCUUUUUUUCAUCCAAAACUGUGAAAAAAAAGCUGAAGUUGAAUGUUUACCAAACACAAAGAAAACCCCAGCUUUUUUUCAUACCAGCUUUUAUUUUAGGGAAUUUUAACGAAAAGCAUCUGGUACUGUUCACUUUAACGAAAAACCACAUUUUUACACUAAAAAAUCAAUCCUGGUACUAUUCACUUUACCCUUUAUUUUGUCCUUAUCAUUAAAACUCAAAGUUUUCAAGCCCUUUUCAUUAGUUUUCCUUUUAUUUUAAUCACCUCAAUCCCAAACUGCACCUUAGUGGCCUAUUAUUCAAGGGUACGUUAGCCUUGAACCAAUUUUGGGCAUAUUGCAGAAUACAAUCACAGCAGGACCAUUGGGGAAGCAAAAAUCCAGGUCAAAAACCUUAAGAACAUCUCUACUUCCCAUCAUACCAACAAGCAACAGCAAAAAUAAGACUCCAAUCAAGCCCAACAAACCUGAUUUAGAGUACUUCAAAGUUUGACUCGAACCCUCACGCACCCUCACCAUCAGUUUAAAUAAAUCAAACAGAAACACGGUCAAGAUUAAACAAGGGUGUCUGAGAAGUAAAAAAAUUACCAGGUCCAAACAAUUCAAACCAUGCACUUGAACUUGAUUUUAUCAUCCGUAGAUUCUGUACAAGGAUUCAGUUUUAAGAAGUGCUCGAGUUUGCUCCUCUUGACGCGUAACAUAAAUAGGUUGUCAUUAUACUACAGUACUGUUUACCAGGGAGAAUGUAGAGUUUUCAAACACACAAAAUAUUGAAUUUAUAAAUACAUACACGCGGGCACACAACAGAUGAUCCUUGAACUAGAGCUGCCAUUUGUAAUAUGCCAAUCCUGCAUUCCGAUCAUCAGAAGAUGUAGUUGGGCAGCUGGAGGGGAAACCGUGCCACUGCAACCUCAAACGGGCCACCCUUUGGCACCCUCAAACUAAAACCAGAGACACAACACAAGUUACAACUAUCAAAUGAUAUACUUAUGAUAUUGCUUCCAUAAAGCCUUUCAACAGAGUGGAGUGGCAAACUUAAUAUGUAUAUCUAUGAUUGUUACAAAAUAGAUUUUAUGCACACAAGAGUCAUAAUUGAUAUGUUCAUACAGAUUUUGGCUAACAACCGGAAUUCAAACUAGAAAAAUUCGAAGUUCGUGAUACAGAAAAAUCAAGUUGGUGAAAGAUCAGCCAAGUAGGAACGUCCUUCAACAUAACUACUUUUGAUAUGGUGGAAGUUGCUCCUAUGUAGCUCCGAAUGACAAAACAUAAAGUCCUGGCUUUAUGGAGUUUGGUUAGCCUCUUCUCUCUUGCUCUUAUUACUCGUCUAACUACCCCAUUUCUUGUCCAAAACUACACUUAUAAAAAUAUCCAGCUAAAAUAUGUUGGUUUGGCUUUUCCAUGAAUUCAAUUCGAUGCUAUUUCUACUCUACAUUAUGGGUUAAAGCAAUUCCUUAGAGAUUCUACAUUCCAAGUAAAGUUCUCGAUCAUCCCAAUUUUAAACCAACAACUCAACAGGCUGAGAGUAUGGGUCAACUAGGGGCUUAUUUGGGAAUGCUUCGACAGGAAACACUGUUGCUCAUAAUUACUUAGCAAAAGCUUCAAGUUUUUUCUGCCAAACGUGAUCAUAAGCACUUUUGGUUAUCAGAAAACAGUUUUGGCCCUUUCAGCAGUCUCAAACAUGCCCAAAAUCAGAGUCAUAAGCAUCAUGCACCAAUCUUAAAAUCUGAACUAAAACCCCAGGUGCUAACUGAAGAAGGAAAAAUUACAGUGGAAAGAAAAAAUCACAUAUUAAUUUCCGUCUCUUCAUUGGCAAGGACAAAAUCUAAACAGGCAAAAAAACCCUUUUCUUUUUAUCACGGGAAUAAAGAAAUAGCUGAAUCAGUUCAAGCAAAGGAACCGCCAGUGCUCCAAGGUUGUAUAUAACCACAAUACGAUGCUUUUCAAUCUUGGUCCAAACAAAACAAAAUAUGCUUUCAAUCACAUUUUGGGUGCCACGUAAUCUACUUAGGAAGAAAACAUAAAAGUUGUUGUACAGGAAUUUAGGUCAAGUACCUGCCAGGGACAAAUGUAAAAGAACCUUCAAUAGAACCUGAAGAAGAUGGUAGACAAGAGUAACUCUCAUAAACGAAUUCCUCUUCACCUGGACGCAAGAGUGGGUACUGCAAACAUGUAUAAGUAUAAGAUUUCUAACAGAAAAUUUAUUCUCUUUUCAUGCGUCGUUUAUAUUACAAUCAGAAGUGUGACCUCCAAAAUAAUUUUAACACUUGUCUACUUUUCUUCUUCUCAAGUGGAACCCAAAAUUUAUUAAAAAAGUCAAAAGUGCAAUUGUGGAGGAGUCCACUCUCAAAUUAAAUCACUCACUCUAACUGCCUAAACAAUAUACAUGACAAUUAAGAAUUAGACUUCCAAACCACAACACAUCAAUUCACAGCAGCAAUGCUGACAAGGAAGGCUUCCUAAAUUCUAAAGAAAUGUAGACAAAAACUAAAAUUUCAAUGCUCACCAUCACCCACCCGAGUGUUCCUGAAAAAGCUUUAUAUUUGACUCCAUAAAAAUGACUAAAAUGAUAAGAUACACCUUGAGAAAUAUAUUUUCAAGGGGUUUGCCUUGAUGUCUGAGCAUGGAUUUGGCAAUCCAACCAUUAGUAGCAAUUCCAUACUUACUCCUAUCAACCUUAUGCCACAAAGAGUCAGCUUACAAAGGGUAUCUCCACAACGACUUCCCAAUAAAUGCUUUAUUUUUCUCAUUAAAUUAACCACACCUAUGCUCCCUUAUCCUUGCUUCUAUCCACCAAGUGAUCGUUCUUUCCUCCUCUCUCCUCUUUCUCCCUCUCCUGCGACCCUAUCUUUUUAAAUCUCUUUGUCUAGUUUAAGUCGUAAGAUUUAAAAAAUUUAAAUCGCAAACCAAUCAAGUUUUUUAGUCUUGAAGAAAAUUGUUUUCAAGAAAUGUUUUAAGAAAUGAUAAAAAAUUUAAAAUAGGAUACAAAACAGCCCCUAAAUUCUCAGAGUAUCCAACGUGCUAUAUUUAUAAAGACAAAUGCUGCGGGGACUUGGUCAAAAAGCGAGUCUCCCCGAACUCUCCCGCCACGUAUACUCCCUCUCUAAUGCAUCAAUCCUGUAUAUGGGCCCCACCAUUGUUACGAUUAAAAUUAAAAUUUUAUUUUUCUCUCCUCUCCAGCAUCUUUUCUUAUCACCUCACUGAAAAACUUAACAGCAUCUUCUCUUCAUCUUCACUGGAUUAAAACUCACUUCACCUUCCUCCUCGCUUCUCCUCUGUUUGCAUCACGGCAGAUGUACCAUCACCGCCAUCACCCCAACAUGAAGUCCUCCUCCAUGAAUGUAAAACCCGGAAAUUUCCCAAUCUGAAAACUCAGAUCAAUAUAGAAGAACUAAUUUUUCCUUUUGUCUUUCUCAUCACCAAAAUUGGUUUAGGUAGUUAAUGAAAGCUAAAAUGGGUUUGAGCAUCAUAUAUUAAUUCUUUCAAUCUUGUGAAUUUGAGAAAUAUAAAUUAAUAUUAAAACAUUAAUGGUGAGAUUUGAGACGGCGGCAUAUACAAACCGCAGAUCUGCUAGAUGAUGAACCAUGAGAAGGUGGAAUAGAGAACUGGAAUUUUGGCAGCCAUGGUUACCAAUUCAUGGUUUGAGUUUACUGGAAUUUUUGCAGGGAAUUAAUGGUUUUUUUUUCGUCCAUCAGGAAGGAGAGGGAGAGUGAUGAAGGACAGAGAAAUUAUGAUUUUCAAUUGCACUUUUAUCUUUGAAUUAUUUUAAUAGUGCGACCCAUGUCUAAUUUAAUUCAGGACGCAUGUAUGGAGAGUCUUUCCGGACUCGCUUUUGAGUGAAUCUGGCUAGCAUUUCUCUUUUAUAAAAAAAUCUGCAUGGUUUAGAAGGAAAAUAAGUCUUCUGGUAAGAGUAACGCACCUCAGCCAAGUGAGCUAUACGGAUUAAGCAGAUAUUAGGACUAGUAACUAUGACAUGGCAUCAGCAGAUUGUUUAAAAGAAAUUGUUUGAAAUACAUUUAUAGGGUCAUGUCUUUAAACACCCCUCCAUUGAAAGGUAGAUAACUGUCUAUCUACUAAAGGGAAGAAGAGUGAUUCAAUUAGAUUCUGGAAAAAUAAUCUGAUAAUGGAAGCAACUGACCAAGUGAAAUCGUACCUGUCCAAUAACAGCUUCUCCUCCAACAUCAGCUACCACAACAUCAUUAGAACGAAUGAUCCAGUGCCUCCAAUUCAACUGACAAGAGCUGAAUGGCAUUCCAUUAAUCACACAUCCUUCAGGAAGAAGGGACAUGCGGAUCGAAUAAGAAAAUGUAUACUUUUCAGAAGUAUUUUCAAGAUCAGCACGCUCUGGGACAAACACAGCAGAAGCACGAACCUAAAACAAAAAUCAUGGUAUAAAUAUUUAUAUUGCAAUUGAAAAGUUAAAGUAGUCAUUCAUGUAAUUGCAUUCAGAAUUACUGUCAAACAAAUCACUGUGACGAACAGUAUUUUGUAAGAAGAAUGGAAAGACCAAUAGCGUUUUAGAACAAGUAAUAAAACUAUAAGCAUGCAUAGUAAUGUUUAAGAACUUAAAAGUCCCCCAUAAAAUGAGGGAGGUCGCAAGCAAAACAAAUUUUGGAUCCAGCUUUCCAGCUCAUGUCUGACAUGUGAGGUCCCUAAGAUAUUUUCUAUCUGGAAACUAUUGGCACCUUCUAACAGCGUAGAUAUUACCUGCUUAUUUAUCAAGAAAAGAGGUAAUGAGGAACUAAAUGUGGGUUUGCUGACUUCAAUUGAGGCACAGUAACAAUCUACAAUCAGGCGAUUCUCAAUGCAAAUGCCCAUGAAACAAAGUUAAAUCUGUUCAUUCCAAUAUACAUCAACCACGACAUAUACUUUCCAUAUUUAUUUGUUUUUGACUAGCCCCAAGAGAGAGGAAAUAAAAGGAAAUCAUUAUGCAAAGGAUUGCACACUUUCAAAGACAUGCGAACGAAAAAAUACACACAAUUGACUACCUUUACGCCAUUUGUUAUAGCAGUGGAACAAAGAGGGGAUUCUUCUGGAAACUGACUGAUGGUUCUGAAAUUUUCUUCUUGACGAAGUUUAAUAAUGCCAUUUUCUAAACGACGGCCAUGCUCUUCUAACCAAAGCAGCAUGCCAUCCUGCUGUUGAUCAACAUUGCAAUCAUGAAUUGAACUUAUCAACGCAUCUGGUACGCAAGGAAGCAUUUGCCCAUCAGUUGGAAGAUUUCUGGUACCAACAUAGAGUUGACCACUUGUACAGUUCAGGAAAAAUAACUUCCCGCUAUAUGUACAAGAAUCCGCCACAACAACAUAUUCUGAUCUACCAGUAAAACCCAGUUUACGUCUGAUCUUCAUUGUUUCUAAGACUACCUGACGUAAAGGCAUCAAAUACACAGUUACCGAGUGGUCAUAAAAUGCAUAACCACCUAUGAGGCCCAAUGGGCAGCCAACCAGGCUAUUUUGAAAAUGUUUUUCCUCAAAAGCUUGACCAUUAUGAAAACGAUACAGGAUCCUUGUUGGAAGAGGAAGUUUCACUUUCAAGAUUUUCUCCACCUCUUGUAUAUUAGCUUCUGAUGCACCCUUUUUCAGUGUAGAAACAGCCUCUGGAAAAUUAAUAGUCAACCAGUUUCUAAUUUUGUCCCAGCAUCUUUUGACUCGCUUUACAAGCGACCAAGGAUACAUUUUAAAAGAUACACGCCAUAGUUGGUAACUUUCCUGAAGAGAGGAGGUGUGUUAUUAAAAAUAAUAUUAUUUGACAAGAUAUUAAAUAUAUAACAAAUUCAAAAAGGUGUCAACCCUGCUACUCGAAAUAUGAUCCAUGAAAUCUUCACGGCUACAGAGCUCCAUGAAGUUUUAGACAAUCAUACACACCAAAAUAGUGAAGCUGCUAGGAAAUUUAGCAAAAUAUGUAUAUCAUGUUAACACGCCAUCACAUGCAGCCCCGUUCUGCAUGUGAGAGGCAAAGAAAUGUAAACAGAGAAAGACAUAUAAGUACCUCCCCACCCUGCACCUUGAAACCCAACAAAAGAAGUGGGGAACAGUGUUUAGAGGUUUAGAAUCCAGGACCUUCUACAAAUCAAAGUUCUGAUACCAAGUUGGACGAUAACUAGACCUCAAAGAAUUAAGCCAUUAGGUGAUGGCCCCAAACAUGGAUCAAGCGAAAAAGGACUAUAUUCCUUGGAAAUCAAGCCAUGUCUCACAGCGGUGCUACAAGUUUUGGACCAAAUAUGAUAUGUACAAUGUAUUUAAGCAAAAAAACUGAGAAGCUUACCGCAAGAACUGCACAAAAAGUAUAAGUAGACAUCUAAAGACCAUGAGACUGCACAUAUCAGCUCUCGGUCAUCCUAUAGACGCUCAAGAAACAAUACUCGCUAAAGUAUGUUUCGAAUUUAGAAUCGAGAAGCAAAUUUGAACCUAACAAACCCCUACCCACUACCCACACUAUUAUUUUAACUAGACCCUUAAAAUUUGAGUCUUCAACCCAAGUUCCCAACCGAUCAAUCCGUCAUGUUAAUACGCAGUCUGUGCAAAAGCCUAUGAUGUAUUUCCUAUGAAAUGUCCACAAAUACAAUCGACCCGAAUCAAAUUGGAAGAAUUUCAAUCUUUUAACAACUUUGGAGAGAAAUGAGAGGUCCCUAUAAAACCAACCCAGAACCCAAAACACAGAAGUAAACACUAACCCACAAACCAGACUGAAAAUUCAACAUUUUUUCAUUUGAUCAUGAUCACAUACACUGAUAUACAUAAGAAAUCGGAAGAAAAGUUGGAAAAUUGUGUGAAUAUAUAUACGAUUCAUACAUAAAAAUCUGAAUUCAAAGGCCAAAAGUUUGUGAGAAAUUGACCUUGAAAGAAGGGGCGAGGUUGCCAAGGGGGUCGAGGGGUUGCGAGAGGUGAAGGUCUCGAGCACAGAAAAGGGACCAAAGGGAUUCAUCGGAGGCGGAAGCUCUGAGUUUGGUGCUGACGCAUGCUGCUUUCGCUGAGUCUUCCGCUCCUAACUUGCUGAGGAUUAUGUGCAGCGCAAGAUCACCCACUGCCUCCAAAUUCAUCUCUCAGAUUCAGCUCUUACUCUCGCUUUCUCUUUCAGCCUUUCAGGUGCCUUCUACUGCGAUGGCGCGGACGCGUUUAUAUACGCUGCCUAAACUCACUGUCGAAUGUUCUACAGCGAUAUAGAGAAAAGAGGCACGCAUCCCAUUUUAUUUUUACACAGCUUGAUAAUUUCUGUCGAUGAGCUUCUUCAAUUCAUUCGAUUUAACGGUCGAAAAUUAAAAAGGUAUAUAAAAAGUAAAAUUGAGCGUGGAUAUCACAUCUUAGAGAAAAUUGGUGCAAUAGUAUUAAUAAUAAUAUUACAAUUAAAUAUGAAAAGUUUUAGAUUCGAAUGUCAUGGAUAACAAAUUUGAUACCAAAUUAAGUUGUUUAUUGUGUGGCUUAGCCGAACUCCCUCUCUCCUUAGUAUAAAAAUAUCAAUGUAUUCAAAGAAAAAAUAAUGGAGUUCUGGGUUGACUUAAAAAUACAUGAGUAUUUGUAAGAGAUUUAUAAAAAAUAGUAAAAUACUUACGAAUUUUCAUUUCAGGAACUAAAAUUCUAAUCGAGUUAAAAUUUAAGAAAUAUUGCUCCAAUUAUCCCAAUAUAUGAUGUCCUUCCAAAAAAUUUUAUGUGUUUCCCCCAAAAAAAAAAAUUAAAAAAUUAUGUGCUAGAGUAUAUGCUAUUCUACGAUUUUAACCUUUUUAUGUUUGACUUUUUAACCGUCUAAUCUUGAUUUCUAUGUAUUUUUAAUGAAUAAACUAUUCAGAGCAUUGGAUACUCAAAUUGUCAUAAAGAAGUCCCAUGUCCUAACUUCUAAGUAAAGCACCAUAAAAUUUGAAAAGUAUCAUGUUCUGAGUAUUAAUGGUAGCAAGUCACUUAGUUUUACCGUUUAAUAAUAUUUUCAUUCAUUUAUAAAUCGGAAAUUUUUAAUUUUAAUUUUGUGAAUGAUUUGAUACUAAUUUACUCUUCCAUUUUUUUUUUUUUUUGUAAAUACCAUUGUAUGGAAAGAAACUACAACCAUCUCUAAUACCAAGGUAGUAAAUUCCAGCUGUGUGGCUCACUAAAAUACAUUUUGGUACGCUCUUCUUCUUUUUUUCAAUUCGAACCUCCUGGUAUUAUACCAAUUAAUAUUAUGAUUUAGUGAUUUUUUUUUUUCUUCUUAUAAACGAAAAAUCUCGUGUUUAACUCACAUAGAUGACGAGUUCAAUACCAAUUUAUUUCUCCAUCAUGUAAUUAUAUGGCGCUAAAUACCACCAAUUGGUCAUGACAAUCACUACUGUUACAUUACUUCUUGGAUGAAUUUGAUUUAACCUUAUUCUGCAUGCCAAUUUUUUGAAAGUCUUCAAUUAAGGUGAAGCUAGAAUUUUGUGGCUCCAAAACCUAGAGCCAAGUUAAGACAAUAGGUCCCAAUAUUUCAACAAAUAAAAGAAAGUCUCAAUUUCAAUCAACAAUAUGAACUUAUUAUGUCAUUCUGUUGACCUUAAAAACUACCAAGCUUACGUGGUGCGCAGGCCGAGUAACUAAUAAACUAACUAUAUCCUUCAAUUAUGUGCGGGGCGUGCUAACUCGUUGGCCGAACUCAGCCGGGGAGUAGAAUGUGUUGAUAUCGCGUUAGACGCGUUGCUGACUUCUCAAUAUUGCAACUGCGGCCGAGGAAGGAACACGUUUCGACCUUUGGGUUCUAAAGCUUGAAGACAAGACUGCUAGUUCUACGAAGUUCACAAAUCGUCGGCGCCGGGUUCGGUCACAGUGAUUAUAUUUGUGAAAGUAUAAGCAUACCAAACUAUAUGGAUACAAGUACUCAAAAGAGAUAUACGUCUUGAUUGUAAAUGUGGUUCGAGCAUCGGAAUGUCGAACUCUAAAAAAUACUUGUGAAUAUCCAAUCAUAAAACAAAACUCGGCUUUCAAUGUGCCAAGCCUAGUAACUUGUAACACCUCACUUCGGCGAGAAGGCUAAUGAGAUGACCUCUACCAAAAAGGAUCCGAAAAUCCUUGUCGACCGAGUCUUGGAUAAAUAACCAGUCGGCCUCAAAGCAGUGCUAUUUAUCUAAACUGAAGGUGCUCCUCGAUCAACUAAUUCUAUGAAUCUAGUGUUGUUUAUCCAAACUGAAUAUGUGUUGGUGGGAAGAAAAAGGGAGAGGAGAAAAUUUCAGGGUUGUAGAGAAAUUUUGCGCAUGGCAAUUUGAGUGUUGAAUUGGAGAGGCCUUGAAUGAUGCACUCCAUUCUCUAUUUAUAGUAGUGAAUCCCCUCAUGGCCGAACUAGAAAUGGACUAGGACUAGAACUCCUCAACCCAAUUUGACUAGGUUUCGGCCAAUCCUAAUUCCUAUAAGACUUUGAUCUAAGCUUCUUAACAAACCAAAUUCAUCCCCUAAUUCUCAGCAUCCUUAGCCUUAAGAAUCCUUGUUGCACUAGGAUUCGACCAACUCACACUUAUCCAAACCAAACCUCUUCGUAAUAGGAUUCGGCCGACCUUAACUGGACGGCCCAUAACAAGAUUCUAGAUGAAUGCCACCGGGCCGAGAAUGAUUCUAAGCUCGGCCCAAAAUAAUAUUUUGGGCCCAAACACAUCGGUACUAGGAUUUAGUAGUAUUCAUCUUAUUUAUAAGUUGAAAGUCUUAUGUUCUGACUCUUAUGUGCAAAGGUUCAUCAUUGAAACGUGAUCUAGUUUCUUCUUUUGUGAAAACAGGAUUUCGUUCCAAUUAUUUUUUUAAUAGUAAAUUCUUUCAAGUAUUACCAGCUUUUGCUCUUGACAAGCAAACUGCAGCUGAAGCAACAUUCCACCAGUUGCUUAAAGAUAGUUGUCUUCUUGUUAUUAACAGCUUUUGCUUCUCUCAGCCCAUUUUUGCUUAUUUCAGAACCAAAACUGAGAGGUUAGAGUUUGAGAGUGAUUUGUUUAAGCUAAGGAACUCAACUGUUAGAUUUCAAGCUUAGUGUAUCUGUAAGCUACUUUAUUAUUGAGCUAUCAUUCGAUUUUCAAUUGUUUAGGUCUGUUUGGUACUUUACUUGGAUUCAAUUUUUAAAACUCAAAAACAAUUUUCAAGUUUCAGACCUUAAAAACUUGUUUGAUAAGAUUAUUUUCAAAAACUGAAUUCAAAACUUUUUAAACUUAAACUCACUCCUUUAUUUUCUCUCACUCUUCCCCUCUCACUCCAAAUCUAUCUCUCUCCUCUUUUUUUUUUUUUUUUACCGUUUUCGUCUCUCCUCCAAUCCGCUAUCUUCAUUCUCUCGGUUCUUUCUCUCACCCCUCGUCCUCUCUAUCUCGUCUGAUCAUCUCUCUUCUUUCUCUUUCAUUCAAUCAUCUCUUACUUUCUUUCCUCCUCUCUUCUCUUUCUCCCUCUCCUGUAACCCCAUCUUUUUAGAUCUCUUUGUCUAGUUUAAGUCGUAAGAUUUAAAAAUUUUAAAUUGCAAACCAAUCAAGUUUUUGAGUUUUAAAGAAAAUUGUUUUCAAGAAAUGUUCUUAAGAAAUGUUUUGAGAAAUGUUUAAAAUUUUCAAAUAAGAUACCAAACAGGCCCUUAGAUUACUUAAUGAACUUUGUAGCUCACUCUUUUUCCCUUCCCUUUCAAAUCAGCUUGGGUGAGAAGUUGACAUGUUAUUUGAAGAUUUUCCUUCUUUUUGGAAGACCUUAGAUAGCUGUUUCGACAACACUGUGUACACUAAUGUUUUGUACCUUUGUUAUGAAUUUUGGAAGAUUUGUAGUUCAUUUUGAGGUCUAUUGUAAGAAAUGGUAAUGAAUUGUUUAUUUUCAGUUUUGGAGACUCGGAAGUAGUUACCUUUUGCUUUACAAGUAACGUGAAGUGUCGCCUGCUCGAAUUUAGCUUGGACCGAAUACCGGACGUGACAUAUGCACCAUUUAACCAAUUGUACGUCGUUAGAAUAUUUUCUUUUAAUCUUAUUUUACACACAGCGAUAACUAAACUGCAAAAAAAAAAAGGGUUCGAAUUUGGGUGCAUAAGAGGUGGCACAUCUGCUAUAGUCAAUGUCCCCUUAAAAGCCAAAACGAGAGAGAGAGAGGGAGAUAUACAACAAGCGCUCAAUUAAAAGAGAUACGAAGGUUGAUGCUAACAAUCUGAGAAGCUACACUCUAGGAAAAGAAAAACCAAAAAAACUAGGGCAACAUCAUUGUAUUUGUAUGUGCUUCAAAAACUGAAACAACAAAUUAACAAAAUAGGCAUGUCGACCUUUCGAAACAAAAGCCAAACGUACUUUUAAGCAUGUACAAAACAUCUCCUGGUUUUCGAGUUCCUCGGAAGGACCCUUUUCUCUUUUCACGAUUGCAAAACGAUCGUCCAUAACGCGAAAAUCCGUUCGACUCCGAACACCUUGUAAACACGAACCUACAAGUCCGAAUAGACAGCGAGACGCUGGUUCAAACCCUGAAAUAAACGCGUAAAGAUAAACGGUCCUUGAGUAUGUAAAUGAAAAAAAACAUCUACUAUUUGGUUCCUAAUUUCGUAUUAGUUGCUGUGAUUAGUGGUCGAACCAACUCGUAUAUCAAGUAAUGAGACAUUUAUUUAACAGAUUAGCGAACCCAACGGAAGAUAAUGAUGCUCAUAUGUAUGGAAGCAAAACAUUUGAAUUUGCUUGACCGUUCAGGGAAAUCAUAUCUACUUCUACUCAAGUUUUGUUCACAAGAUAGACAGGGCAAAGUCGUUUCAUUCAAAAUUCGGAUUCGAAUCUCCUCGGCCUCUCUGACAUCUACCAGAAAACCAAAAAUUAACUUGACGACGCUCAUCGGAAAAGAAAAGAAAAGACGACACUGGAUGGCCAUGCCGACGGGAGUAAAUGUUUCGGUUGGAAACUGCUGCAGGAAAACAUAAAGUUUGGGGACAUUUGUGCUUUUAGGAACGCUACAAAAUCGCAAAUGUUGAUCGCACUGAGAAGCUUGUGAGGUUCGAGAGAGAGUAAUCCAAUCCACCAUAGUACAAAGAAUUGGUGACUACUUUACAGCCUACAUGAAUUACACGACACAAAAAGCGCUAACGUAUGACAUAAAAAGGUUGAAUGCGCAGACGGGAAGGGAGGUGGAUUGUCUGCCCUCCCAUUUCCAUACUCUUCCAAUCCCCUCCUGUUUUGUGUGGUCACGGUUAAACCACGUCAACAUUUUAUAUUCCUAUUACUUUAAUGUUGACGUAGCUUAACCGUGACCACACAAACAGAAGGGGAUGAGAAGAGUAUGGAAAUGGGAGGGCAGACAAUCCACCUCCGACGGGAAGAUCCCUCAGCAAACCAAAAAGGAACCAAAUUGUUCAAUCUUCGUGGGACGGAAAGUAUGAACUCAAAAAUGCCAGAAACAAUAUGAUUUUCGACAAUUCGCGCUAGGUGAACUUCAAAUAGAAAUCGAUGCAUAAACAGGCAGUGACAUCCAGAAUGAACACUUUUCUAUCUGUUUCUUAUGCAUAUCGUCGAAUUACUAAAGAAACCAUAAAUCCUCGAUUCCCUACCUCGCUUGCAGGUUAGUCUACAAAGGUUCAGCUACCAAUCAAAUGUUUGCACCAACGGAGAAUAUUUGAUGUUCAACACUGUCGGUACACUAUCAUCUAUUAUUUUCACUCAAACCAAAAUCAAAACAAACAAGGAAAAACGAAAAUGUGUGUGAUCUCCGAGAUACUAGGUAAAACGAAACACAACUGAUUCGCAUAUUUGAUAUAACAUGUUUUUUGGUAGUGUUAAAACAUUUAUCUGUGCAAAUAAGGCCUACUGACGCUCCAGUUCGAAGAUGUGACUACGGGACAAAGGUUUCAGGGCCGAAGGGGUAAAGGAAGACAUAGGAAAACUUUGGAAGAGACCCUAAGAAAAGACCUAAAAGUACUUGGAUCUAACAGAGGACAUGACAUAGAACCGAGCGCAAUGACGUUCUAGGAUUCAUAUAGCCGACCCCACUUAGUGGGAAAAGGCUUUGUCGUUGUUGUUGUUGUUGUUAAAACAUUUAUCUGUUUUGUUUCUUAUUACCUACCACUUAAAAUCUUUUCUAGAGAACCAGAGAGUAAGUUUUUUCAUAGGUUCCUAUACAUGCCAAAAUUAGCACCAACAAUGGGAGAGGUAAACUUAGGUUCAACCAAAUUAACAAGACACUGCAUAGAAUCGAAUCAGAUGGAUGGGAGCUGAAAGCUCGGCCUAGUACCGUUUCAAGAACACGGCAAUUAUCUUUUUCCCUGAAUUUACGAGGCCAUCAAAUUAUCACAAAGGAAACCAAAAGGAAUCAGAGUUCAUAGAACCAGCUGAACUUCAACCUGUCACAGGAGGCAAGUCUUAAGAUGAACCUCUAACUUUCCACGGGUGACUAUUAUGCGUUUUUCUUUACUGCACUAACCUAUUCUCAACUUUUUCAUCAUGAAAUAGCUUUUAACAUGAACCUAUUGGGCCAAUUUUGUAUCCUUAUGAUUCGGUUUGUUAAGUUUACUUGUUUACAGAGUUUGGACACUUGUUACAUGUUUGAAACCUCUCACAAACGCAAAUCCGUAAAAAAGGAGAGACUAAACAAUUUUGGAAGCCAAACAAAUCUCUAUCCAAAAUUACAUACUAGCCUUUAUGUCCUGCCGUUUUAGGAUGUAAAUUAUACCAAGUCAUUUGUUUGAGAGGACACUAUCAUCUAAAAUAGCAGAUAGCUGACCAUACUGACGCCUAUAUCGAGCGGAAAUUGAUAAGGGGAACGACCUGAAUGCCAUUUAAAAGUUUACCAUGUUAUGUUAGCAGGAGAAUAUGCAACUCUAAGGAGAUAUUCAUCAACCAAGAAUUGCAUUUGUUACUAAAAUAUCUGAACAACUCUUACAGAACAUAAUUACAUACGAUAGUUACAAUUUGACGGGGUUGAAAAGGACAACCUAAGGUCAGAUAAUAGUCGGACAAGACCAUUGCCUCGAUAUGACAGAAGAAAGUAAGCUAUAAAGAAUGAGUUUAACCUACAGAUAUAAAAUUAACGCCAACUGCAUGGUAGAAGCAUACUGAUGGGGAAAAAGGAAGAUAAAAUACUCCAAUACAGUGUUCUUUUUCAUAAAAUUACAAACUGCUAUAACUGAAAAACAUGCCAUCUGAUAUGAAGAACAAUGCACUCAAACGGGAAGACAACAAACUACUGAAAUGAUUACCGCAAAAGAACAGCAGUUUCAAACAGAAAAAAAAAAUAAAAAGAUGCAGAUAAAGUAUUAAAAAUACACGGGAAUAAUACAAAAAGUACAAGAAAAUUGUCAAUAUAUAUCAACAAGUGUAACAUACACUACUAACACAACUGACUGGACCAAAUAUGCAAACACGUAUUCUUAAAGAGAAAAAACUAAGGAAAACAUGUACUAAAAAAGAUCUAGAAAUGACAAUGGCAGCGGCACCAAAAUAGGAGGAAGAAAAUACUUUCCCUUAGGAAACACAUUUGAGUACUAGACCAGCAAAACUGUCCAAACUUACAUGGAAACCAUGAAUAUAUAUAUAUAUAUAUAGAUAUAUAUAUGGUCAGGAUCAGGGAACACACAUGUUGACACACUUUCUAGGGCCCACUAACUUUUUUCAACGAUCCGAACCAUCUAUCUUUUAGGUCUUACUUCAAAGAUCAUGUCUACCAAAAUCUGAAACCAUAUGACCGUUGGAUUAAAUGGUAGUCAUUUUAGUGUUUCUUUGCUGGACUGUAUUCGUUCAUUUUCUUCACUACAAAUGAAUGUCUUAAUGGUUUUGGAUUUGUCUAAUUUUUUGCAAGGAUGAUCUAUGAAUGAUGAUUUGAAAAAUAGACAAUUCGAAUCAUUGAAAAAAAAUUAUGGAGUGAGCCCUACGAAAGUUUGUCAAAAAAGUGUCCCCAAAUCCUGACCCUAUAUGUAUAUAUAUAUAUAUAUAUAUAUUUUUUGGGUAAAGAGAAAACAUGAAUCUAUUAAACACGAAAAAUCUUGAUAUAAAAAGUUUAUAUCCUUAACUGUAUACAACAAUUCAAUCUUACAACCCACCACAAACAGAACUCCUGUGCUAUGAAACAUAGUUAUUAUCUGCUUUGCAUGCUUGCGAUCAAACAAUCCAGUUUACAAGAAACCAUUCUUUGCUCAUGAUUGCAACAGAUAGCUAAAUAUUAUAAUUCCAUUGAUUAUAUUAGUCCAAUGGAAAAGCUCCAAAGUCAAUUUCAAGGUGCCAAAGCUGCAUAACUCUCCCUAAACUUUGCUGACACCAAUACCCAGAGGAGAAGCCCAAAAAAGGAGCCACUCUCCAGCUCUUCAGCCCUCACAUCCUCAAAUAUCUGUAUAUUCUAUGAAAACAAUCCUAGUAAUAGACACCACUGAAAAACAUCCUCCCCACCAAAAUUGCCACAAUAUCUAUAUAAAUAAAGAAAAAUAUCUAGACAUACAUGAACAUUCUCGAGCCAACUACAAUAUUGAAAAUGUUGCCGAUGAAACCAGAACCAUGAUCAACAAACAAAUCACUGAAUACAAAUAUGCCUGCAGCAAGCCUAUCCAACCAGAAAUGUCACACCAUAAAAAGUUCUGCAAUUCUACUUCCUAGGAAAGCUGUGAUAAAACCUAAGGAUUUAAUUACACAAAAAUACCACCACAUCAGUUACACCAUAUGAAAAGAAAAGAAAGCAAGCAAAUAGAUUUUCCAACUAACAGCAUUUUCAAAAUGCAUGUUUCUCUAGAAAAACACAUUCAUUCAAAAGCACAAGUCACUAUCACCAGUGGCGGAGCUAGACAACGUUGGUAGCAGGGGCCAUAUAAGGGGCAUAAAAAAUACUAUCUAGACAAGAGAAAAUCAUUAUUCUCAAACCAUAUCACACAAGUAAGACAAUUCGAGGUUAAAAUCAUAUACCUAAUGAAAUAUACAAGACAAGAAAAAUCAAAACUACGUGAUUGAAGAAUGUAACACAAAAAAUUGAUGUGGUAAAUUUUUUUUCUGGAUGAAAUAUAUUGUAGUUGAAGUUUGCAUGUUGAUAUCUUAUGUCAGAUAAGCAUAUUGAUAACAAAUUACACAUUAACAUGUGUAUAUAUAAUUAUAUAUAUAUAUAUAUUAUUAAAAAAAAUUAUUUUCGGCAGAGGGGUGAUAAAAACAAAGGUUAUAUUAUGAUACUAUUUGGUGUUAUUAAAAAUUUAAAAAAAAAUUAAAAAAUACCUAUUUGGUGUAAAACAUUUGGGAAGAGAACCUAGACAGUUAUAGCUUAAUUUGGAGGGGCCACGUUGCAGGAUUUAGUUGAAAGGCUUCAUAUGAUUAUACCUUCUAUUGAAACAUUUACAAAAAUUGUAGGGGCCAUGGCCAACGUUGGUCUCUUGCAUGCUCCGCCGCUGACUGACACAAACAAAUAACUGAACGUGGAUGCCUAUACAGCCAGGAACUACACUAUAGAUCGAUAUCCAGAAGAAUGAUUCGCUAAAUCUAUCCCGUGAAGUAAGAGAAAACAAAUACUAGCACACAAGUUUCACCAUAUGCAAAGAAAAGAAACAAACACAUGAAUUGACCGACUAAUACUUCCAAAAGAUGUGUUUUUCUCUAGGAGCACACUGAUUCAAAGAAAAGUCAUACGCAAACAAGUCACUGGACAUAGAGCAAGCCUAUCCGGUAAAAAAUAGACACAUCACAUAUUGUUCAAUCGCCCAAGGAAAUAUGUGCUAAACCUAUGGCAUUAAUUAAUAUAAAACACAUACUAGCACAUAAAAUUUAAUCAUAUGCAAAGAAAAAAAACUAACCAUAAGCCAGAGACAGAAAAAUACCUAUACGGGGAUAUAAUUAUCAUUGUUGACUUCCAGACCCUUGCCCCGCUUGACUACCCAUUUGCUGCUGCUGCUGUUGUUGCUGCUGUAAUUGAAGGAGGAGGUUAGCCGCAAAUUGGAGCGUCGACUGAUACCGAUGAUUUUUGUCUGCCUCACCAUCUGGGGCGCUCUGACCAGCCCCAGCCCCAAGUGAAGGCUGAAGCUGCUGCAUUUGAUUUGGGUAUUCUGGGUUCACCUUUUCAGCCGCUACUGGCAGAAAGGUCUGAGACUGCGAAUUAGCACCAUAAGUCUGACCAGAAAAGGCCAUAGAAUUAUUGUGUUGCUGAGAAACAGGUGGAUUGUACAACACAGAAGUAUCUGUUCCAUGUGCUGAAAAGCCUUUCUGAGUACCAAGAGGAGCUUCAGCCAGAUAGUGCUGGUUGAGAUGAGAGGGUCCAAAAGUUUGUCCGCCUUGAGAAGGGAUAGUAAAAUUAUUCAAAGGCCUAGAUGAAUUUGCAGACUGCGAGGGCUGACUGGUAGAAGAGUCUGGGAAUUGGUUGAUACCAGGGGCUAGUGGGGUAGAGUGGUUGGAUGAGUUUGGAACAGAUGGAUAAGGUUGGUACUGCGAAUGAUUCUGUUCGUGUGGAUUAAACUGAUUACCUAAUUGUUGUAAUGCAUGACCGGUAUGAUCAGAAAUUUGUUGAUCUUGUUUCCAUCCAGGAGAAGAUACUUCACUAGGUGCAAAAGCAGGAAAUGAAUGCCUAGCUGCUGAGGAUACUGGUACCCUAGCACCUUCUGGACCAGACGGCUGUGCAUUUCCAGGCAGUAAAGUUGCCAGAGUGGCAAUAAGUUCAGGAGUUAAAGCAACUCCAGCUUGUGAUACUGCAGUACUAUUACUAGAAGCAUAGUCUUGCAGUUGCCCUCUAGAGGACUCGCUAGUAGGCGGAAACAGUGGUUUUGCAGAACGCUUUGAGUCCUCAUACAAAACCCUGUUAUAAUCCAUAUGCAAAAUAUGAUCCUCCUUCGGUGGGAUUACACUAUACUCAACUUGUGAAGAAGGAAUCUGCUGUCUAUCUAUAAACUGUGAAGGUGGCAUGGGCUGCAUCUGUUCGUGCAUAGAAGCAGUACUAGGAACUGGUGGAAACUUGAGAACCACACCAUACAGACGUUCAGGGCCUGCAACUUUUAAAACAUUCUUCAAGAAAUCUGAAGGAGGCACCAAAAAUAAGGUCAUCCCAUCAUCAAACUUUGCAACACCAGCACGGUUUUUUGCACCUAGAUAACGUAGGAAUUCAGUGUAGGAAGCAAAAUCAUCUUCACUAUCUGGCAAGAAGAAAACGAUAUCAAAUCCAAUGGCCUCAGCAUAGUGUUUUGUGAGCAUAUCCAGUCCAGUUCUAGCCGAACAAUUAACAACUUCAGGACUGCAAAACAGAAAACAAUUACAUUAAAUACAAACAAGAGAAUUCUCUCUACACGCACCAAAAACAACCCAUGCUGAUAUAAGAUAAGAGGGGCAACUAAGUUUAGUUUUGAAGAUUAUCCAGAAAAAGAACGAAAGAAUCAUAAUAAAUAUUUUUUGAAGUCCAAAAUCAUUGAGUGUAAACAAUUUGAAAAUAAAGAGAGAUACUAGCAAAUUUGAACCCACUUUAGUGCUUUUAGUAAUCAUAUUAAGGAUUUAACAACGUUAUUAACCAAGUUGUUUGGUUCCAAUCAAAAAACAAAGAAAAAACAUUGUUUGGUUUAUACAUUAUCUACCUGCAAACUGAAAUACAUACGGAAUGUAUGAUUAUGAGUAAACUCAAAUAUCAUUUCUAUAGGGUGAAGGAUAGGGUAAGAAGUAUUAGUUUGAAACUGUAAACUUGCAAAACCAUAAAGAAGAAAAGUUUAAAGCAUUGGGAUAGAUAGCUCCGGAAGGCAAGAUCAUAAUAAAUAAAUAAAUAAUAAUGUAAAUGUUUCACAUUAAUAAUAAGAUGACUGUAGUAUUUUCUAUGCUAAUAGUCUUAUUAAGUUCAAAAGGGAAGUGCUUCAGGGGCUUCUGGAAUAAAGUAGACAAACUGCUAAUAGUAAUGUCUUCAUCUAUCCAUACUUAAAAUACAAUGAAUAAAUAAAAAAAGGGUGUCAUAGAACAUGCAUUAGAAAGAAAAAAAAGCCUAGACACUAAACAAUGUUAAGUAUGAAGUAAGUCGUUUGAUCAAGCUCACCUAGACCCUCUUUCAAGACACAUCAUUUGGCACAUCAGUUGAAACAAUAAUUUAGUUUCCAAAAUACUGAGAAUGUAAAACUGGAUGAAUAAGAAACGGUUGCCAAUAUAAUCAUGAGAAAGCUGAUAUUGCAUGGAUAAAUAUGAACAUUUGUGAAAUACUAAGGUUUCAUAGUCUUGGUAACUUGAUAAUAUACUUUUAUCCGAAUACCAUAGCGCAGUGGAAUCCAUGUAUAUGUUCUAAGUAGAACAAAGAAAGUAUGCCAUACGAGUCCCCAAAGAAAAUGAUAAAAAACAGAAGAUGAAAGGAAAAUUGUACUCACAGCUCAUUUCGUAUUCCUUUUCCUAUAGGGACACAGCGAGCAUGGCAAACAGGUGUUCCACCCUUGGCAAUAGUUCCACGCCAUAUAAAAUCAUUUUCAGGAGGCCCUCCAACUGAGACCCUUACACCAGCUGGACUAAGGCGAUUCUUCCCUUGGACAUUCAUAGAUGGUCCAGAAGCACCUCCAUCAAUUACCGGACCAAGUCCGUAAGACGAGUCGAACCCUAAUCCAUGGUCAUCAACGUUUCUAAACUGAUAUGGAGGGUCGUCCAUGGACAAAGGACUAUCUAUUCUUGAUCGUUUAGCAUCCUUUUGAAAUUGGUUAGCAUCUAACACAUCCCAUGCACUAGAUGCAGGUCUCGUGGGUGGCCUAAUACCAGGCACAGGAGAAGACACGGCCCUAGGUGUGGGAGGAGACAGCUGCCUCCAGUUGGGACCCAUCAGGUUCUUGGAAUUUCCGUCUUGAUAAUUAUGAAGCGAUGCCAAAUCAUUCAGUUCUGGACCUGAAAGCAGAGGGUCAAACCUACCUUGAGGACCUAAAGGCCUCAUUGGAGCAUUUGGUCCAAGAAUGCCAUUUUGUGGUAGAGCUCCAGGAUAAUUAUUAGACAUCAUUGGACGGUUAUGACCAAACAUGUCCAUUGGUAAAGACUGAAAAGGAUGUUCAUUGAAUAACAUAUCUGACCUAGGUCCUUGGCCUCCAGGAUAAGGGCCAGGGUAUUCUUUCCCAGGUGCCAGCCCACUGCUUGAGAACAUAAUUGUAAUCCGAGGAUCAUUGAAAAGCCUGCCUUGCAAGCCCUCCUUGGCCCGCCGAGCUUCAUCCACACUCCUGAAUUCGACAAAGGAGUAGUGUCUUGAAGGAAAACUUUUAAUUCUCUCAAUCUCACCAAACAAAAUCAUGGCAUUGUGGAGCAUUUGUUCAUCAAUCUGCACAGAAGGAGGAUAGCCCACCCACAGAACAUUACUGGGUUGACUGUCACCUUUUCGUCCCCCGGAAGAUUGAGAAUACUGCAACAUGACACAAAAGUUAAGAGAAAAUAAUCACAACAGAGAAGUUUACUCCCAUUUGGAAUUCACAUACGGAUUUCCAUUUUCUAUCUAACCCACAAAAAGCAUAAAUCAGACCCUAGGGACCAAAGGUAAGUCUACAACUCUGAGUUAUUUAUUGGAGGUAAGAUGCACCUUGUGUGACAUAACCAGCUGACAAAUAGUUAUUAUGAAGCAACAAAUAUACACACAAUCAACAUUGUAAGAAUUUACCAUUUCUGGUUGAAACACUAUAUGCAACUUAUUCCUCACCUGUUGUCUUUUAUGUGAAUCAGCAGGCCCCAUGUUUCUGGCCAGAAACUGUCCAUCUCUGUAGUCAGGCUGUUCCUGUUCAAAAGACCAAAGGAAACCAGAAACUCUUUACAUAUGAAAAGAAAACGAAAUUUAACUAUUGUUCAUUUUCACUAAGCGUUUUAAUAAGUAACUGAAGCCGGACAUUUUACAGUGAACAUGCAAAUGCGUUAAUCAAAAAACACUGAUCAAUAAAUGAUUGUUAAUAGAUGCUUCUCCUGAUUCUUUGAUUCAAAUUCUUGUUGAUAAUAUGACUGGAGUUUCCACGCCUAGGUUAAUUGUUUCUUAGUUAUUCUUUUUUUUUUUCCAUUUAAACAAAAAAAAUGAUUAUAGGUUUAUGAAAUUUAAGUAAUUAUGGCGAAUUCCUACCAUCCAUUUAAUAAGUGUAAUAUAUAUUUGGCAUUGUUACUCAGGUGGGAGUGUCAUGUCCUUAAGACACCCACAUAGAACUAGAAAGAAUCUUUCAAAACAAAGUGUCAGCACCAGACAACACUGAAUUUGCCACGCAGAGAGCCUAUAACUGCUCUCUAAUGAAUUUUCACUUGCAAUAUUUCUGCUAACCCACAAAGUCCUGGAACCGCAAUAAUAUACCAUGGAAAUACCAUUGAAGUUAUGAAUAAUAAACUUACCCUUCUCGAGUAUUGUGAUCGAAGAUAAUCAACGCGUAUCUGGUCACCACCCAAUCUCUUUCCGUUCAUGUUUCUCAUUGCUUGGGAAGCAUCCUCCAAUUUAAAAUAUUCAACGAAUGCAGUAUUACAGUCUCUAAGGAACUUGAAGUCCUCCAUUUUUCCAAACUUACAAAACUCUUCUUCUAAUUCUUCCUUUGAGACAGAUGGGCUAAUUCCACCUACCCAUAGAUUCUUGCAAGGUUUUGCCUGUAAAUACAAGUGCAUAAGAACCACAAACUUCAGGUCCCCAAGAAUGUAAAAGGUGCACAAAUUUAUUUCAAGGCAAGGAUAAACAAACAAAGAGUGAAACAAAGUGAUCUCAGGUUUAAAAACACUUUGUACAACAGUUGCUAAGCAGAGGAAGAAAAUCACAAAUAUUACUAUGCUAGACAUAACAAUGGCAAGAUGAAAGCAUCAAAACUUGAAGUAAGCCAUAUCCGGACAGACUGGCUAAUGCAUGCAUAGUUAAGAACAUAUUCAGUAGAAUCCAUGCAUCAAAACAUUCAGGGGGCUAAUGCAUGCAUAGUUAAGGCCAUAGGCUUGAUUUCAUACUAAGAAAAGCUAAAGACAUACUAACACAAAAUAAAUGGGGAAAAAACAAAUCAACAUGAUAAACAUAUUCCAUCUCUAUUCCUCCUUUUGAUAAGGCAAUAGAAGCAACUAGGUCACUUGCUUCUUUUCCUAUUUGCAAAAAAUAAAAUGGCGUGUUUUACACUACAACGUAUGCCCCUUGCCUUAACCUAAAUAUGAUACCAUAUGAUUGUCCUUCUAUAACUUCAUAUUUGCAAAUAUCUACCGACCUUGGGUUUCACCCUUCCUCCAUCCCCAUAAGUGACAGGAUGGAGAUUUAAAGGUUACUGAUAGGUGAGGGGUAAGAACUAAAGUGUGACCAAGACUAGAGCGCAAUACAAGUACAUAGGAGAGAUAUCUACAUCUGUUUCACAAUGUUGCUAUCCCUACCAUUGUUUAAAUUUCUCUUUGUCAAUUUUGUUAUGGGACUACCAUUUUGUUGCAAGACAAAAAGCUUGAGAGAGAUGCACAACACUUGUAACUUUCUUUCCACAACACUUGUUCUCACAAGACUUUGUUCUCCUAUUAACUCGUUUAUUAAAACAUAUAUAAGCUCAACUUAUAAAAAUCAAUGGAUUGCAAAUGUACGAUAUAUGGGUGGUAAAAGAAGACAGUGAAGCUUAGUUCCUAGUAAAUUGCCAUCAAACUAGAAUUGUUAGAUCCGGUCUGCUCCAUCCUCAAAGGUUGAUUAGCUAUCUUUUGAGAUUUUUGUGUACACAAACACCUAACACUUUGGUGUUAACUUGAAACAGAAACACGCCUUUGUGCGCUUACUGGCAUUGGUAAACGUUUGAGUUGUUUGUCGAGGUAUUAAGUUUUGGGUACAGUCAAUGAGGGUAAAAUAAGAUUUCAAAUCAUUACACAGGAAUCAUAACUGAUCUUCCGCAGGCUGUAAUGUUUGUUUCACAGUUUGAUUCACAGGAGAUAGUGUUUGUUUCGCAGUUUGGGAGCUUGGAAAUGGUUAUAGAAUCCUUUCUGUUGUGUUUGCACCUCAAACAUUGAAACUAAAGCACAACUAAGAUUGGUGUGGGUGCACAUAUAUUAAUUUUGGUGCCCAAGUUGAAUUUGAAACAUGCCUAUUUUGGUACUAAAAAUUAUUAUGAAACUGAAACACAACUUUUGCACUCAAUGACGUCGGUUCAUAAUGUUGUAUUGCGCUUUAGGUUGAAAUGAAUCACCUAUCUGGACAAAGGGAUUUCAAUUAAUCACCUAUCAUGUUACUGGAGUCGUAUUUGAUCAUUCGCAGAGACCAACAAACACUCAGGUUGUGCACUGUUUCGCGGUUUUGGAGCUUGGACAUGUUUAUGGGAUUCCUUUCAAUGGUUUUUGAACCUCAAAAUCUUCAUAACUGAUCCUUUGAGAUUGGUGUGUGCACAAAUAUUGAGUUUGGUGCUUCAGUAUUGGUUAAAACCCCCCUUUGUGCACUAACUAACAUCGAUUCAAAAUUUUGGGAAAAAAAAGAAGAACAUUUAAAGUAAAAAAGCGAAGCUACUACUAAGUUCUUAUGCAGAGACCUAACCGCAGAUGUAAAAUCUGAUUCGCAGUUUUGAGGCUUAAAUUGGUUAUGUAACCAAUUGGUCACACUAACACAUAUCUUGGUAAUUGUUAAACUUUUACACCGAAUCAGAUUCCAUGAAAUAAAGGGAAAAAUCUUAGCAAUGGAUGUAUGAUUAAUUAAAAAUAUCCUUCAUAUCCUCAAAAUUAUCCACGCUGGAAUGGAAAUUAUCGAUGCUAAGCACUCUAGAAUGGGAUGCCUAAGAACAUAGGGUGUCGCAAAACAAGGGCAACUUAAAUCAUAACUGUGAAUAUAUUCUGAGAAAUUAAGGAAGCUGAACAUCAUCAGCAUCCAUAUACUUCUCAGUUUCCCCAUUGAAGAUUAUGGUUUUUCAUGCCUAAAAUGUUAUUGUUUAAGCCCAAUUCAACAAUUUGAAGCUUUUAGACUCGUAAGCGAAACUUUCCCAAAUCCGAAGAGAGAUGGAAAGAAGGGCAAUGAAAAAGGCGCAAAUUUCCUUAGCUUCUAAUCAAAUAAGCGCAUCACUCAUACUCUUCGUCUUUAAAAUCGGGAGCAUAGAUGAUGAUGAUGAUGAUAGGAUGAUGAUGAUAAGCACAAUUUGAUUGAAAUCGAAUAAACACGAAUUUCUUGUUCGAAAAUCAAAGCAAUCAAUAAAAAUCAUACAAAAACAACCAAAUAAACCUAACGAUGCACAAAGAUCAAUACGAACCGGUCGGGCAAACUCAAUCUUAACAGGGUUUCCGCGCAGAAGGGCACCUUGCAAUGCCUCCUUGGCCGCCGCAGCGUCCUCCACGCGCUUGAAGAACACGAAGGCGUAGCUCCGUGACGAGUAGGAGGUGACGCUAUCCAAAGCACCGAAUUGGGCAAACAGGUCCAUGAGAUCGGCGUCGGUGACGUCGCUCGCUAAAUUUCCAACCCAGAGAUUGUUCGACGGCGUCUCGGAAUCGUCUGUGCCUUGCUUGUUCGGUUUGGCCGCAGGCGCCAUUGCGAUUGAAUUGAAUUGAAUGGAAUUGGGGCUGAAUUGAAACCCUAGCAGUGUACAGACUGAAGAUUGGGCGAAACUACUUGAUUUUCUGGAUACGUUUAGGGUUAGGGUUUUGGGAAUUAGGGAUCGAAUAAUUAGAAAGGAGAUAUGCCAGAAAUGCCGGGAAAGCCAGUUAUAUACACAAGGCAGAGAUAGGCUUUCUUCCCUCACCCGUUAUACAAUACUGAAAUGACAAAUAUACCCCUAAGCUUUUGUGAUGGACCGUCCGAUUUCCGGCAAGCUUUCAAACCCGCGGCUUUCUUGCCACGGGUGCAUGAUAUCUGGUGCACCCAACAUAUCCUCUCCGGUUUUUUUCGAUGAUGAUCUUCGUAAAUUGUGUUCGUUCAUCGUAUAUUAUGUAAUCAGUUUUUGUCAAAUACUAUUUGGUUUAAUUUUAAAUAAUAAAUUUAAAAUAAUUUUUUAUCGUAAGAUAUACGAUAAAUGAACACGAUUCACGGAUUUUCAAAAUCCUCAUAAAGAGAAUCUGCCGAGGAUCCGGAUUCCUGGUGCACUGUGUUACAUAAAAUAAGUCCAACUUAGCAGCCUUCUUUCCUUUUCACACGGGUGGGCUCCGUGAACAACGGUAGCCCAAGCAUCUUCUUUCAGGAUUUUCAUUUAGCCCACAAGAUAUGGGUAUUUGCAAGAAGUGGAUUAUAUUGAGCCCUUUGGCAUUCCAUUGGAGAUAGCACAGGUUCCGUUCACUUGGAUGUGAUUUUAAUAUUGUCUGUUUGGAAAUACUUAUAAAAUAAUUCGAAAAGCAUUUUAACAAACAAAAUCACUUGUGAUUGUAUUUAGCAACAAAACGUACAAGCCCUUUUUUGUUACACGCCAAGAAGCAUUUUGAUUUUGAAUAAACUUUUAUAAAGCUCUUACAAUUGGAAGUGCUUCUUACAAAGUCGUCUUUUUAUUAUGGAUGGCUGAUUUGCUUAGGCCAAAAUCUCCAUUCUAAAAUUUCACCAUGAAUAUCGUCGUCGCCGCCACUACUACCUUACCAUAGCCAUUGCUACCACCACUCCUCCCCACCACCAUCACUCCAUGCCCACCACCACCACCACCACCAUUACCUUUACUGACACCACCUUACCAUGGACAAUUACUACCACCGCAACAUUACCGCCGCCAACCCCACUGCCACCACCCAUCAUCGUUGCGACCACCUCACUGCCAUCACCGUCUACCAACACCUCUAUUUUCACCACAUUUCCAUGGCCAUCAUUAUCACCCCCACAUUGCCGCCGCCAACUUCAGUUCCAUCAUCACCACCACCAUCGUCGUUGCCGCCACCUCACUACUACCACCACAUCACCUACACAAUCACCACUCACUGUAAUCGCCACUAUCACCACUACCAGGGUCGUCUCUGAGAUUUCAGGGGCCCUGUGUGAAAUUCAUAAAAGGGGCCUCUUAUAAGACAUCUUAAAAAAAUUGAACAAUGUAUUGAUACUAAAAAGCAAUAUGGAAAUAAACAAAACUUAAAAAAGUCUAGAAUCGAAGCUUCACUUAAAGAUGGCUCUUCGUGCAUUCUUUGCUGCAAAAUCAUCAAUUAAAUCUUCAUAAUCAAUUUUGUCUAAAAAAUCACUCUCAAUCGAUAUCAAAGCAAGUCCAUUUAACCUUUCCUGCAACAUGGUUGAUCGCAAGUAUGAUUUUAAUAACUUUAACUUCGAGAAACUCCUUUCUGCAGAUGCAACGGUAACAGGUACAGUCAACAAAAUUUUGUAUGCAAUGCUUGCAAUUGGGAAACAACGUAUCUUCUUCAAGUAGUUCAAUAUGUCAAUGGAUGUCUUUAUUUCUUUCAGCAAACACUCUCGUAAAAGCUUCAACUCUACUAAUAAUGCAUCCCCAUCAACAUCAAAAAGCUCAUAUUUCUUGAGAAAGUUUUGAAGCCGAUCACAACAAUCUUUCAAUUUAUCAUUGUCUAUCGAAUUCAACCGUUUUGAGGUGAACAAAAACCCAAAUAUAUCAUCAUACGCUUGAUAUUCUUCAAACCUUAUCUUUAAUGAACCAAUAGCUUGAUCUAUUAUAUACAAGAAGUAAUGAACCCUAAAAGAUUCCUCUGCUGAUUGUUUAGUUGGUUGGGAUGAUUCACCUUCAUUCUCAUCAAAAUGUCUUUUUCAACGAACUUGACGCUUUUCUGGAAACAUGGGAUUUCAAAAUAAACGAUCAAUCUUUGUACUUGUUCUAUAGCAACAUCAAUAAGCAUGUCUUUAGAUUGCAAAUCUUUGCUAACCUCAUUAACAGCAUCCAAUAUUUCAUACCAAAUAGUCAUGCCUAAUAAAAACUCAAAAUUCCCAAUGUCGUAUGUUGCCAAAUAUUUAGUUGCACUUCUUGUUACUAAGUCAUUAUCACUUUCUGCUAAUUGGAGUAAAGCUUUUUUUAUUUAUAGAGGUUGGGAUUGAAUUGCUUUAACACUCACAACACGGCUUUUCCAUCGUGUGGCCGAAAAUGAUUUGAGAGUCAGUCAUUUUAUAUUUUCUUUCAAAAUCAGCCAUCGUUUUGUAGAAUUUGCAAACAAGCUGUAAAUACGUUGUACUGUUCCAAAGAAGUCUUUUGCUUUACCACAAGAGUUUGUCAUCACAAAGCGUUAAGUUAAGAUUAUGGCAACCACACGGAGUGUACAUUGCCCUAGGAUUUAUAUCCAAAAGCCUCUUUUGUACACCUUAGUGUCUCCCUCUCAUAUUUGAUCCAUUAUCGUAACCUUGCCCUCUUACAUCAUCAAUAUCAAGAUCAAGAACUUUUAAUACAUUCUGCAACUCUUCAAACAGUUAUUCUCUUGAUGUGUUAUUCGCAAUCAAAUAUUGCAAGAAAUAUUCUUCUACUUUUACUAGAGUACUGUUCAUAUCCACACAUCUUAUGAUCAAGGUCAUCUGUUCUUGGUGGCUAAAAUCAGGAGUACAAUCAAGUAUCAUAGUAAAAUAUUUAGCUUCUUUGACUUUUUGAAUGAUUGCAGCUUUGAUUUCACAAGAUAUCAACAAUAUCAACUCAUUAUGGAUGGUAUGACUAAGAUAAUGAUAACGAAUCUCAUUAUUUUAGAAGCGUUGAAGAUGAUUCUUUAUUAAUGGAUCAGAUUCAGCCAUCAUUUGAACUAGGCCCAUAAAUUUUCCAUUACUUCCUUGAUAAAGAGUAUCAUUAUUUCCACGAAAAGCCAGUGUGUGUUUAGCUAAAUAUUUCACAAUGGAAAUCAACGUUUGUAGUAACUCCCUCCAAUGCUCUUUUUCUUUCUUGAUCUGGUCUUGCACAACUUUGUCAAUUGUUUCGUUUUUCUGCAAUCUAAGAUGCAAAUUAAUCCAAGUGGUCAUAUUCGAGAUGUGAUCAAAACUGUUUUCAUGCUCUUUAAGCCUCACAUUGAGAUGUGUCCAAUCUUUGUAGCCCUCAUUUGCUAAUUGACCUUUGAGAGGCCAUUUCUUGAACAAUUUACAACAAAAGCAUAACACUUUAUCAACAUCAUUUGAAUAGACUAGCCAAUCUCUAACAUGUUUCUCUCAAUUGGAUAAGUAUCGAGUGUAAAAGGCUGCAUUAAAACGCCUAUUAAACUGAUCUUGAGGACCUUUCUCAAUUGAUAGAUCUCUUGCACGACCUCUUUCUGCCAACAAAUCAAUCCAUUUAGGAUCAAAACUAUCCCAAAUUUGAGGAUCAUAAAUGUUUGAGGGAAUGGACUCACUUGGUUGAUCAGUGACAAUAGGAGCAUCUUCAUGAUUAUCAUUCUCAUCAAGGUCAUCAUCAAUUUCAUCAUUGCCCAAAUCAUCAACUAAUUUCUCAAUAUCAUCCUGUUGUUCCGUAAUUAAAUCAUCAACUGAACUUUGUGGUUCUUUUUCUUUCAAAAAGAACCUAUCAAUAGCUCCUUUUUUAGACGUAAUCAAUUGUUCAACUUUUCUUUUUCUUUGAUGCUUCAAGUAGCCAGAUGAAUAUUUUUUAGUAGGUGCCAUCUUUUAUAUCUCAAACAAGAUCACAAAAAAAUUAUAAUAAGUAUGAACAAUGAAACCUGAUAAUCCGUAAUAUGUGUGGGUCUAAUGAUUUUUUGUGACUGCUCUUCUCUUGUUUUUGCCCUGAAAAGUACAAAAAUAAAAAUAAAAAUCAUUAUAGAUGAGAAAUACCCAAAUCUUCAAAUUUCGAGUCAAUAUACUUAAAUUAGUAAAUAUCUUACUUUGAUCGAAGUCUACAUCACUCUGAUAAUUUGAAAGUUUCUCUUUAAUUUCAUAAAUUUAUAAAUUAGGGUUUAAUAAUUUGUGGGAAAUCUAACAGUGGAACGAAGAGAGAAGGGUUCGGGACACUGGUAGGCACAGCGUCUGAGAUUUUGACUUCAGUGCUCUGGUACUCUGGUGGAAAAGAAGAAAAGUGGAACGCAGUUACGCAGCGUUGGGAUUUUGGCGUGAGAGAGUGUAUCUGAAUUUUGCCUCGGUCAGUGGGUUUUCCACUUUAAUUGAUUAACUUUGCCGGUUUGCCUUUUAUUAAUUAUUAUUUUAUAUAUUUUCGUAUAGGUUGUAGCCGUAGGUAGUAGUCUAAGUCUGAUGGGUCAUGGAUGAUGGCUUAGUAGUCUAACAUGGCUUUUAGGUAGUAAUCUUGGCCCAUUAGAUUUUUAUAUGUAUAUAUUUUGAUUUGAUUAGUAUUUAUAUAUAAUAUUAUUAUAUUCAAUAAAAAAUAUUUUUGGGGGACCCCAAAAUUUUGGGGCCCUAUGCCAUAGAACCGAUCACACUCCCCCAAAGCCAGCUCUGACCACUACCACCACCACGACCUUGCUAUGGCACCACGUGCACCCCACCACUAUAACCACCACCUCAACCCUAGUGAAUUAAUGUGUGUUAGUUAAAAAUUCUCACUUAUGUCGAACCUCAAACUUAUUUCCCUAAUCCAAAUGCAGUGAUGAAGAUUUACUUGAGGGGCCUCAAGUACUAAUCUAUGUUACCAAUCUUUCCCACUCAAAGCAAAGCUUGAUUCCUUCACCCAAAAUGAAAGAAAAGGAGAAAAACAAAGCUUGAUUCGAACCACCUCACCGGAUUUGUAACAAUAAAAACAUCAAACUCACAACACAGACAUGCCGAAAAGGCAUCGAUUUCUACAGCCUAACAUUUUUGCUCUCUCUCUUUUGUUGGGCUUGCCCCAAAAUCUGUAUGUUCAUACAAAUCUAACCUAGUUAGCAGACCAUUGGAUUGGAUUUAUACAGUUAGAAAAACUUCUGUGAAAAGGCUAUCGAGGUCGCAGUGGCAGCUAUUUCUGAUGCUUUACUGUUGCGGCUCCUUUGUCGUGAUGCAAGAUUCCACGUUUUUGAAGAUAUUGUUGCACAGAAGCGGGUACAUUUGUUCUCAACGACCCAGAAACUGAUAUGAACCUGUUGAACAGUAGCUUUGCCAAUCCAUCUAUUUCCGAUUCAUAUUGUUCACAAACAAAAAAUAGCGUGAAAGCCAACACCAGCGCUGCAAAAUAUGUCCAACAAGAUCAACACAAAGUUUAAACAAAUAAGCGAUUAAUUGACUCGGGCAUGGUGAAACUGGCAUUCUCUUACCUACACCUAACGACACAGUCGAGGCAUGAGACAAAAUCAACUUGAGGAAAAAGAAGGAAGCUGCAAACUGUAGAGAUGGCCACAAGAGAAUAAUUGCUGUCAAUGAAAACUCACCCAUUCAUAUAAAAGUUGCAUUUGGAAAUAUUAGAAUUUAUGUAUCAGAAAGAUAUUUGUAAAUAGAAUAAUUGAAGUUUAAACGGUUAUUUUAGAAAAGAAAGAAAAGAUGCUGAAGUUCAUACUCUGCAUGGAUCAAAUUGACGCAAACAUUUCCAACAAGUAUAAUAAGCAGGAGAUACAAUAGUAUUGGUAAGUAGCGUUCAAAUACCGCCAGUCAAUUACAAUGUAAAUCAUUCAAAUGGUCAUAUUAAUUCUUGAGAAUCUGGCCAAGACGAAUAAAUGAAUUUAGGUCCAAAUUUUCCUAACAUACACAAAUUUUGAUAGCUAAAACUGGCAAUACCUGUGCUCACGAAAAGGUUUCGCGGUUAAAAGUUACAUAAAACGUGAAAUUGGACAUUUUCCAGGAGUCAUGCACUUCAAUAAAGGGAAUAAAUUAUUAGUGCAUACCUUGAAGAAAAUAUACCACCCAUCUCCCUGGGCCAGUAGUCUCAAAUAACAAACCCCUCUGUUCCACAGAUAUGCUAUCAUUGCAAUCUUCUCUUUCACUACCAUUUCAGGGAUCUCAAAACAAGAUAAAGAUAGUGUCUUAAAGGUAAAACCCAACCUGUUCGAAAGACAUUAUGGUCAGUAUAUGUAAAUUAACUAAAGCACAAAAGAAUUCUUCCAGCACUUACAAGUUUAAUCAAGCAAAAGCUUUGUAAACACAAAUACUUACAUCUUGGGUGGUAGAAUCCCAUAUCCAUAGAGGCCAAAUGAAACUAACAGCAGAAGCUUGGACAAAGACGAGGCAAAAGUUCUUCCGGAAAGGAAAAACCAGUAAUACAACAUACUCAAAGCAAGGAAAUAUGUAAAAGUCUUCUUCUCAUCACGCCACAGCAGAAUGUCUGCAACUGCAGUGACAGUUCAAUGUCAUUCUACAAUCCAAAUAAAAAGCUUUCAUGAAAGUUCUAGUAUGCAUAUUUUUCAUUUAUCAAAGCAAGAAACUUUCGAUGAAAAGAAAAAGUACAAAAACAGAGGACAAAGUGUCGUCUGGCCUGAGUGAAUGCAUAUGAACGACAAUCACGUUUAAUCCAAAGAUGUUUUCUGAAAUGCAAAUACUGUCUAAGUUGGUGUGUUCCAUUUAUUUUAAACUCUGUUCAUCAGUUGAAGUAAAGCUGUGGACCAAAUUGCGUAUUACCAUGGGACCAUGCAAGAACAAAUUAACAUAUGUAGCACUUGAACCCCAAAACCAGGCACAAAGUUCUGAUUCAAUCCCAGCCCUACCCAGUUAUAAAUUUUGUUACUAGGAGUCAAACACACUCGGAUAAAUACUGGGAAAUCUGAUUUGCAGGUUUGAGGAUAAGUGAAAGCAAAACUUCAUCCCAGAUAAACGAAAAAGGAGCGCAGAGUAAAAACAAUAUAAUUAAAAAUGAAAAAACGACUUCAGGCUUACAAUGUGUAGCUGAUAUCAAAAUUGAGCAGAAAAUAAAAUGGUACUACGGAAAACAACCUUCUCCACUGCCUAGCAGCUUCUCCACUUUUGAUUCCUCAUUAAAGUUUCUGAAAGUUGGGAUAGAUGAGUUCCUGGCUAUAUUAGAGAAUGACUCGACGGUUAAUUUCACACCUUCCUGUACACAGACAAAGAAGAAUGUUAAACAUGGAAUUGUUAUGCUCUAUAGUAAGCCAUAGGAGAAUAUGACAAUAUACACCACUUUAAAUGCAACAAAAACUGUAGGAAUUUGUUUUCCAAAACGAAAGGAUCAGGGAGCAGUCUUCAUUAAUUUUCUGUUAUUAGCCGACCCCACUUAGUGGGAAAAGGCUUUGUUGUUGUUGUUGU